rnacentral:rRNA from 1 species
UGGGGAAUAUUGCACAAUGGGGGAAACCCUGAUGCAGCGACGCCGCGUGGAGGAAGAAGGUCUUCGGAUUGUAAACUCCUGUUGUCGGGGACGAUAAUGACGGUACCCGACAAGAAAGUGACGGCUAACUACGUGCCAGCAGCCGCGGUAAAACGUAGGUCACAAGCGUUGUCCGGAAUUACUGGGUGUAAAGGGAGCGCAGGCGGGAAGACAAGUUGGAAGUGAAAUCUACGGGCUCAACUCGUAAAUUGCUUUCAAAACUGUUUUCUUGAGUAGUGCAGAGGUAGGCGGAAUUCCCGGUGUAGCGGUGGAAUGCGUAGAUAUCGGGAGGAACACCAGUGGCGAAGGCGGCCUACUGGGCACCAACUGACGCUGAGGCUCGAAAGUAUGGGUAGCAAAC